rnacentral:rRNA from 1 species
UACGUAGGAGGCGAGCGUUGUCCGGAGUUACUGGGCGUAAAGGGCGCGUAGGCGGUCAGCACAAGUCAGUUGUGAAAUCUCCGGGCUUAACUCGGAAAGGUCAACUGAUACUGUGCGACGUAGAGUGGCAGAAGGGCAACUGGAAUUCUCGGUGUAGCGGUGAAAUGCGUAGAUAUCGAGAGGAACACCUGCGGCGAAGGCGGGUUGCUGGGCUGACACUGACGCUGAUGCGCGAAAGCCAGGGGAGCGAACGGG